GGUUAAGCUUUUAGGCUGAAGCUGAGAUUCAUUCUGGAUGAGGACUGAGAAGCUUCCAGUCUGAGGAAACAGGAUCAGCUGAGGAACUGUCGAGACAUCACAGAAUAUUUUUAAUGCUAUGAGGAAAUUGCUGAGAUAGAAGGGAGGUGCUGUCCCGUUCAUCACAAACAUUUCUUGAAUUACCACAUGUUCUCUCCAAGACAGCCUAUUUGUGGAUAUAUUCUAUUCCUGGAACACGGAUGUCUAGGGAGAAGAUAAGCUCCCUGCAUAUGGAGUGAGACAUGAAGUGGACCUUGGAUCAUACAGGCUAAUGUCACCCAGUGGUUCUGCUGGUCCCAUGUGUCAC